ACAUCGCCUCUUGACAACAUAUGAGAGGUCUAGCCUGCCCAGUGACUCUGUUCAACGGCCGCGGUAUCCUAACCGUGCGAAGGUAGCGUAAUCACUUGUUCUUUAAAUGAGGACUAGUAUGAAUGGCAUUACGAGGGUUAUACUGUCUCCUUUCCCUAAUCAGUGAAACUAAUCUCCUCGUGAAGAAGCAAGGAUAAACAUAUAAGACGAGAAGACCCUAUGGAGCUUUAAACUUUCAGCAAUUAUCUUUUUUUAUUAACCUCAAGGUAAUCAAAUUAACUUUAAUAUUAUGCCUGUUAGUUUUCGGUUGGGGUGACCACGGAGUAAAAUUCAUCCUCCGCAAUGAAUACUAAACGUUUAAGCAACAAACUACAAUUUUACGCAUCAAAAAAUUGACACUAUUGAC
rnacentral:rRNA from 1 species